rnacentral:rRNA from 1 species
AGAGUUUGAUCCUGGCUCAGGAUGAACGCUGGCGGCGUGCUUAACACAUGCAAGUCGAACGAUGAUCCCAGCUUGCUGGGGGAUUAGUGGCGAACGGGUGAGUAACACGUGAGUAACCUGCCCUUAACUCUGGGAUAAGCCUGGGAAACUGGGUCUAAUACCGGAUAUGACUCCUCAUCGCAUGGUGGGGGGUGGAAAGCUUUAUUGUGGUUUUGGAUGGACUCGCGGCCUAUCAGCUUGUUGGUGAGGUAAUGGCUCACUAAGGCGACGACGGGUAGCCGGCCUGAGAGGGUGACCGGCCACACUGGGACUGAGACACGGCCCAGACUCCUACGGGAGGCAGCAGUGGGGAAUAUUGCACAAUGGGCGAAAGCCUGAUGCAGCGACGCCGCGUGAGGGAUGACGGCCUUCGGGUUGUAAACCUCUUUCAGUAGGGAAGAAGCGAAAGUGACGGUACCUGCAGAAGAAGCGCCGGCUAACUACGUGCCAGCAGCCGCGGUAAUACGUAGGGCGCAAGCGUUAUCCGGAAUUAUUGGGCGUAAAGAGCUCGUAGGCGGUUUGUCGCGUCUGCCGUGAAAGUCCGGGGCUCAACUCCGGAUCUGCGGUGGGUACGGGCAGACUAGAGUGAUGUAGGGGAGACUGGAAUUCCUGGUGUAGCGGUGAAAUGCGCAGAUAUCAGGAGGAACACCGAUGGCGAAGGCAGGUCUCUGGGCAUUAACUGACGCUGAGGAGCGAAAGCAUGGGGAGCGAACAGGAUUAGAUACCCCAGUAGUCC